GGGUGGCGGCGGCAGCGGAGAGGGCCAGACGGGGAGGAGGUCGAGGGCCCCGGCGGCGGCGGCGGCGACGGGCCGGUGGUGAGCUACCGCCGCGGCCGGUACAAGGGAGGGAUCUUCAGCAUGCACCCCAACAAGCCCAUCGUGUGCUAGCAGAGGCAGAGCGCAGCAUUUGUGAAUGAAUAGGGAAAAUCAUCGCCGUUUCUGACGCAUACAUAAGUGCCGUUGCAUAUACAGUUUGUCAUAUAAUAAACCUCGAGGAAAACAGUGAAUUUAGUCGUGUUUGUACAGGAGUUACGCGCUUUGGUUAGGGAAAAACAUACGGCGUCUUUGAAAGAAUGAAUUCGCCUACGAGAUUUGGCUGUUUUGGACUUACUAUGAUUGGAUAUGAUUCCGGACGCAUCAUCCAAACAUGCAGUAUAAGGUUAGUCUCAACGUGAAGUUUCAUGACAUUAAAUUUAAUACCACAUCAACAAAAAUUAGUGACUUGGCUAGGUAAUUAAUAGAGGGAGUUUCAUCAGAUAUUCACAUGAGAGGGGAGUUUCAUUCCCAUGACAAUCAUUUGGCACAAUUAUCUAAUUCUCAAUUUAGGUAACUGUAUAAUAAAACUGUACACUGAGACUGACCAAAGUGAAGUGAAAAUAAAAGGAUCAAAAAUAGAAAUCAAAGAAACAUUCCUAGCAAAAAAAAAUCAAAGAAACAUUCCGUGCAACCAAAAAAAUCAAAGAAACAAAGUUGACACCGAACCAAGUACAAUGGUUGUUGUCCUCUACUGACAAUCUCAUAUAUUUACACACCAAAUUUUAAAUUUUCCGCUGUACCUGCCAUUAUAUACCGCUAUAGCUAUUUGAGGUAGGAUAGCGUUAUUUGUGCUCAUGUAUAAUUUAGCCGCUAUAACUUACUAUAGCCUCAUUAAGCUCUGUUAUUAGUUGUUUUAGAAUCCAAUACUGCUAAUCCCCUUAUCCCGUUAUUUAAAACAUUGUUUACACAUAAUAUUAAGAUAACUUAAUAAAUAACCUAUACAAUAGUUGUCUUUUAAGUUGCCCUAUAAUAACUUUAUAAUUACUUAAUUUGUGUAUAAAAAAUUAUAAGUUGCACAAUCACAACUUGAAAAUUAUGUGAUCUCCAAGGAUGAAAUCACGUUCAUUGUGCCUGGUGCACUGGCACAGGUUUUCAAACAUUUUUUUGCACUAUCCUCGGUACUGAAAUUCACCUCUUGUGCACUACCUAGAGGGGGCUCGUAUCUAGCUUGUGGAAGCUAGUUAAUUCACACAACUUCAAAACCCAUUAGACCCAAAUUAGAAUACGAAUUCAACAUUUUAAUAUACCAAAUUCAACAUUAGUUUAAAAUCAGAUCAAUUAACAUCUAAAAAUUAAGUAUUGUCAGUCAACAUUUGUAAAAGACAUAUCACAUUCAACAUUUUUCAAAAAAGAUUUUAACAUUCUUGAAAGAACAUAUUCAAUAGUUGUAUAAAUCUAAAUCAAUAUUUUUUUAUUCGCUCAUGUGCUUCUUCCCUUGUGAUGGUGGCGGCGCACAGCGAGUGUGCCAUGCGCGGCAGUGGACGUGGCGGACAUGGCGAGGCUAACAGGGG
rnacentral:lncRNA from 1 species